rnacentral:rRNA from 1 species
AACGUGGGACGCGAGCGUUAUCCGGAUUCACUGGGCGUAAAGAGCGUUGAGGCGGUUCCGUAAGUUGGACGUGAAAGCCCUGGGCUUAACUCAGGGAGGCCGUUCAAUACUGCGGGACUUGAGGACAGCAGAGGGAGGUGGAAUUCCCGGUGUAGUGGUGAAAUGCGUAGAUAUCGGGAGGAACACCAGUGGCGAAGGCGACCUCCUGGGCUGUUCCUGACGCUGAAUGCGAAAGCUAGGGUAGCAAACGGGAUUAGAUACCCCCGUA